rnacentral:rRNA from 1 species
CCUACGGGAGGCAGCAGUGGGGAAUAUUGGACAAUGGGCGAAAGCCUGAUCCAGCCAUGCCGCGUGUGUGAAGAAGGCCUUCGGGUUGUAAAGCACUUUCAGUGGGGAAGAAAGCCUUGGGGCUAAUACCCUCGAGGAAGGACAUCACCCACAGAAGAAGCACCGGCUAACUCCGUGCCAGCAGCCGCGGUAAUACGGAGGGUGCGAGCGUUAAUCGGAAUUACUGGGCGGAAAGCGCGCGUAGGCGGUCUGAUAAGCCGGUUGUGAAAGCCCCGGGCUCAACCUGGGAACGGCAUCCGGAACUGUCAGGCUAGAGUGCAGGAGAGGAAGGUAGAAUUCCCGGUGUAGCGGUGAAAUGCGUAGAGAUCGGGAGGAAUACCAGUGGCGAAGGCGGCCUUCUGGACUGACACUGACGCUGAGGUGCGAAAGCGUGGGUAGCAAACAGGAUUAGAUACCCGAGUAGUC